AACGAACGCUGGCGGCAGGCCUAACACAUGCAAGUCGAACGAUAAGCCACCUUCGGGUGGUGGACAGUGGCAGACGGGUGAGUAACGCGUGGGAACGUGCCUUUCGGUUCGGGAUAACCCAGGGAAACUUGGGCUAAUACCGGAUACGCCCUUCGGGGGAAAGAUUCAUUGCGGAAAGAUCGGCCCGCGUGGGAUUAGCUAGUUGGUGGGGUAAUGGCCUACCAAGGCGACGAUCCGUAGCUGGUCGGAGAGGAUGACCAGCCACACUGGGACUGAGACACGGCCCAGACUCCUACGGGAGGCAGCAGUGGGGAAUAUUGGACAAUGGGCGAAAGCCUGAUCCAGCCAUGCCGCGUGGGUGAAGAAGGCCUUAGGGUUGUAAACCCCUUUCAGCGGGGACGAUAAUGACGGUACCCGCAGAAGAAGUCCCGGCUAACUCCGUGCCAGCCGCCGCCGUAA
rnacentral:rRNA from 1 species